GAGGAGGGCUCAUUGCAAAGUGUCACGACAGGGUUCAGACCUGCAGAAUUGCAUUUGCCGGUACAUCGCCUUGGUUGUGCUCGUUACCUUACUUCCUUUGAAGGAACAAAGGACACAGCUGGCCUUCUCAACUGUAUUUUGCUAUGCCCUACUCUCAAGCUACCAAACUUUAGGAUGUAAAAUAAACACUUUUAUGCAAUAGUGAUAAAAA